rnacentral:rRNA from 1 species
GAUGAACGCUGGCGGCGUGCCUAAUACAUGCAAGUCGAGCGAAUGGAUUAAGAGCUUGCUCUUAUGAAGUUAGCGGCGGACAGGUGAGUAACACGUGGGUAACCUGCCCAUAAGACUGGGAUAACUCCGGGAAACCGGGGCUAAUACCGGAUAACAUUUUGAACCGCAUGGUUCGAAAUUGAAAGGCGGCUUCGGCUGUCACUUAUGGAUGGAUCCGCGUCGCAUUAGCUAGUUGGGGAGGUAACGGCUCACCAAGGCAACGAUGCGUAGCCGACCUGAGAGGGUGAUCGGCCACACUGGGACUGAGACACGGCCCAGACUCCUACGGGAGGCAGCAGUAGGGAAUCUUCCGCAAUGGACGAAAGUCUGACGGAGCAACGCCGCGUGAGUGAUGAAGGCUUUCGGGUCGUAAAACUCUGUUGUUAGGGAAGAACAAGUGCUAGUUGAAUAAGCUGGCACCUUGACGGUACCUAACCAGAAAGCCACGGCUAACUACGUGCCAGCAGCCGCCGUAA